rnacentral:rRNA from 1 species
AUAUCAAUAAGCGGAGGAAAAGAAACCAACAGGGAUUGCCCCAGUAACGGCGAGUGAAGCGGCAACAGCUCAAAUUUGAAAUCUGGCCCCCAGGGUCCGAGUUGUAAUUUGUAGAGGAUGCUUUUGGUGAGGUGCCGCCCGAGUUCCCUGGAACGGGACGCCGCAGAGGGUGAGAGCCCCGUCUGGCUGGCCGCCGAGCCUCUGUAAAGCUCCUUCGACGAGUCGAGUAGUUUGGGAAUGCUGCUCAAAAUGGGAGGUAUAUGUCUUCUAAAGCUAAAUAUUGGCCAGAGACCGAUAGCGCACAAGUAGAGUGAUCGAAAGAUGAAAAGCACCUUGAAAAGAGGGUUAAACAGUACGUGAAAUUGUUGAAAGGGAAGCGCUUGUGACCAGACUUGGGCGCGGCGAAUCAUCCGGGGUUCUCCCCGGUGCACUUCGCCGCGUCCGGGCCAGCAUCAGUUCGGCGCGGGGGAAAAAGGCUUCGGGAACGUGGCUGCUCCGGCAGUGUUAUAGCCCGCUGCACAAUACCCUGCGCUGGACUGAGGACCGCGCAUCUGCAAGGAUGCUGGCGUAAUGGUCACCAGCGACCCGUCUUGAAACACGGACCAAGGAGUCGUCUUCGUAUGCGAGUGUUCGGGUGUCAAACCCCUACGCGUAAUGAAAGUGAACGCAGGUGAGAGCUUCGGCGCAUCAUCGACCGAUCCUGAUGUUCUCGGAUGGAUUUGAGUAAGAGCAUACGGGGCCGGACCCGAAAGAAGGUGAACUAUGCCUGUAUAGGGUGAAGCCAGAGGAAACUCUGGUGGAGGCUCGCAGCGGUUCUGACGUGCAAAUCGAUCGUCAAAUAUGGGCAUGGGGGCGAAAGACUAAUCGAACCUUCUAGUAGCUGGUUUCCGC